AUGGUUGAAGCAGAUCGCCCAGGAAAGCUCUUUUUGGUAGGUUUGAUAAAGAAGCAAAUGGGAAAGCCCUUGAAUCAUUAUUUGGAAAAUAGGGAUGGAUAGUGGAAGUACUCUUGAUAAAAGACCAAGAAACCAGUAAGUCAAGAGGAUUUGCUUUUGUUACCUUUGAAAGCCCAGCAGAUGCUAAGGAUGCAGCCAGGGACAUGAAUGGAAAGUCCUUAGAUGAAAAAGCCAUCAAAGUGGAACAAGCCACCAAACCAUUAUUUGAAAGCGGUAGACGAGGACCACCUCCACCUUCCAGAAGCAGAGGCCCUCCCAGAGGUCUUAGAGGAGGAAGCAGAGGAACUAGGGGACCUCCCUCACAUAGAGGGCACAUGGAUGAUGGUGGCUAUCCUAGGAAUUUUUUUUUUUAAUCUUAGGAAUUUUAACAUGAGUUCUUCCAGAGGACCCCUGCCACUGAAAAGGGGACCACCACUACGAAGUGGGGGUCCUCCUCCUAAAAGAUCAGCUCCAUCAGGACCAGUUCUAAGCAGCAGUGGAAUGGGAGGAAGAGACCCUGUAUCACGUGGAAGAGAUAGUUACAGAGGCCCUCCUCCAAGGGAACUCCUGCCUUCUCGCAGAGAUGUUUAUUUGUCUCUAAGAAAUGAUGGAUAUUCAACUAAAGACAGCUAUUCAAGCAGAGAUUACCCAAGUUCUCGUGAUACAAAAGAUUAUGCCCCACCACCAAGAGCUCAUACUUACCAUGAUUAUGGUCAUUCCAGUUCACAUGGUGACUACCUAUCAAGAGGCUAUAGUGAUAGAGAUGGAUAUGAUCGGGAUCGUGACUACUCAGAUCAUCCGAGUGGAGGUUCCUACAGAGAUUCAUAUGAGAGUGAUGACCUCACAGAGUGCUCCACCUACAUGAGGUCCCCACCAUCUUACGGUGGAAGCAGUCUCUGAUGAUUACAGCAGCUCACAAGAUGGGUAUGGUGGAUAGCUACUCAAGCAGCCAAAGUGAUCUCUACUCAAGUGGUCGCAUUCAGGUUGGCGGACAAGAAAGAAGGCUUCCCCUUCUAUGGAAAGGGGGUAGCCUCUUCCACAUGAUUCCUACAGCAGUUCAAGCCAUGGAGCACCAAGGGGUGGUGGCUGUCUAGGAAGCUGAUCUGGUAGAGGUGGAGGCAGAAGCAGAUACUAG